GUGAGGAAUAUUGCGCAAUGGACGAAAGUCUGACGCAGCCAUGCCGCGUGAAGGAUUGACGGCCCUAUGGGUUGUAAACUUCUUUUGUAUAGGAAUAAACCCUCGUUCGUGAACGAGGCUGAAGGUACUAUAAGAAUAAGCACCGGCUAACUCCGUGCCAGCAGCCGCGGUAAUACGGAGGGUGCAAGCGUUAUCCGGAUUUAUUGGGUUUAAAGGGUCCGUAGGCGGAUCGUUAAGUCAGUGGUGAAAUCCUACCGCUCAACGGUAGAACUGCCAUUGAUACUGGCGAUCUUGAGUAUGUAUGAAGUUGGCGGAAUGUGUGGUGUAGCGGUGAAAUGCUUAGAUAUCACACAGAACACCGAUUGCGAAGGCAGCUGACUAAUACACAACUGACGCUGAGGGACGAAAGUGUGGGGAUCAAACAGGAUUAGAAACCCGAGUAGUCC
rnacentral:rRNA from 1 species